rnacentral:miRNA from 1 species
UGGGAGGUAGCAGUGGUGGUGA